rnacentral:rRNA from 1 species
CUACGGGAGGCAGCAGUGGGGAAUAUUGCACAAUGGGCGCAAGCCUGAUGCAGCCAUGCCGCGUGUAUGAAGAAGGCCUUCGGGUUGUAAAGUACUUUCAGCGGGGAGGAAGGGAGUAAAGUUAAUACCUUUGCUCAUUGACGUUACCCGCAGAAGAAGCACCGGCUAACUCCGUGCCAGCAGCCGCGGUAAUACGGAGGGUGCAAGCGGUAAUCGGAAUUACUGGGCGUAAAGCGCACGCAGGCGGUUUGUUAAGUCAGAUGUGAAAUCCCCGGGCUCAACCUGGGAACUGCAUCUGAUACUGGCUAGCUUGAGUCUCGUAGAGGGGGGUAGAAUUCCAGGUGUAGCGGUGACAUGCGUAGAGAUCUGGAGGAAUACCGGUGGCGAAGGCGGCCCCCUGGACGAAGACUGACGCUCAGGUGCGAAAGCGUGGGGAGCAAACAGGAUUAGAUACCCCGGUAGUC